UACGAAGGUGGCAAGCGUUGUUCGGAUUUACUGGGCGUAAAGGGCGCGUAGGCGGUCAGCACAAGUCAGUUGUGAAAUCUCCGGGCUUAACCCGGAGCGGUCAAGUGAUACUGUCGUGCUAGAGUGCGGAAGGGGCAACUGGAAUUCUCGGUGUAGCGGUGAAAUGCGUAGAUAUCGAGGAGACACCGGUGGCGAAGGCGGCCAACUGGACAGAUACUGACGCUGAGACACGAAAGCGUGGGGAGCAAACAGG
rnacentral:rRNA from 1 species